CUUGGUCAUUUAGAGGAAGUAAAAGUCGUAACAAGGUUUCCGUAGGUGAACCUGCGGAAGGAUCAUUCAUAAUAAGUGUUUUAUGGCACUUUUUAAAUCCAUAUCCACCUUGUGUGCAAUGUCAGUCGAUCUUCUUCAUGGAGAUCGACCAAACAUCAACCUUUAUUUUUUAACUCUUUGUCUGAAAAAUAUUAUGAAUAAACAAUUCAAAAUACAACUUUCAACAACGGAUCUCUUGGCUCUCGCAUCGAUGAAGAACGCAGCGAAAUGCGAUACGUAAUGUGAAUUGCAGAAUUCAGUGAAUCAUCGAAUCUUUGAACGCAUAUUGCGCUCUUUGGUAUUCCGAAGAGCAUGCUUGUUUGAGUAUCAGUAAACACCUCAAAGCUUUUGGAUUUUUUAAUCGAAAAGCUUUGGACUUGAGCAAUCCCAACACCAAUCUUUUUGAGAUCGGUGGCGGGUUGCUUGAAAUGCAGGUGCAGCUGGACAUUCUCCUGAGCUAAAAGCAUAUUCAUUUAGUCCCGUCAAACGGAUUAUUACUUUUGCUGCAGCUAACAUAAAGGGAGUUUGACCGUAUUGGCUGACUGAUGCAGGAUUUCACAAGGGUCGGCAACGAUUCUUGUUAAACUCGAUCUCAAAUCAAGUAAGACUACCCGCUGAACUUAAGCAUAUCAAUAAGCGGAGGGCUUGGUCAUUUAGAGGAAGUAA
rnacentral:rRNA from 1 species